GAUGAACGCUGGCGGCGUGCCUAAUACAUGCAAGUCGAGCGCUGGAACUUGGUGCUUGUACCGACUGGGUUAGCGGCGGACGGGUGAGUAACGCGUGGGUAAUCUGCCUUUGAGAGGGGGACAACAUCUGGAAACGAAUGCUAAUACCGCAUAAUAACUUUAAACACAAGGUUUAAGAUUGAAAGAUGCAAUUGCAUCACUCAAAGAUGAUACCGCGUUGUAUUAGCUAGUUGGUAAGGUAAAGGCCCACCAAGGCAACGAUACAUAGCCGACCUGAGAGGGUGAUCGGCCAAACGGGAACGGAGACACGGUCCAGACUCCUACGGGAGGCAGAAGUGGGGAAUUUUGGCAAAUGGGCGAAAGCCUGACGGAGCAAGGCCGCGGGGGUGAGGAAGGUCUUCGGUUGGUAAACCCCUUUGGUUGGGAAAGAAGAUGGGGAGAGUGAAAAGCGCAUAUCGUGACGGUACCUAAUCAGAAAGCCACGGCUAACUACGUG
rnacentral:rRNA from 1 species